AGAUAGCGUAAAGACAAUAUAUAGAAGAAUACACAGUUAUUCAAGUUAUCCAAGUACAGCAAGAUUCUUCUUGAAUUGAUUUCAUCUACGAUGUGGUCACUGCAAUUCUACAUCAUCGCAUUGUUUCUGUUCGACAGUCCAGUAACCGGGUCGCACUUCAGAUAUGCCACAAUCAGCUGUAGGCCCGCUCCGGAU